AGCAGCCGCGGUAAUUCCAGCUCCAAUAGCGUAUAUUAAAGUUGUUGCAGUUAAAGCUCGUAGUUGAAUUUCGGGGUUAGUAGGUUGGUCAUGCCUCCGGUAUGUACUGAUCUCACUGAUUCCUCCUUCCUUAUGAACCGUAAUGCCAUUAAUUUGGUGUUGCGGGGAAUUUGGACUGUUACUUUGAAAAAUUAGAGUGUUUAAAGCAAGCUAACGCUUGAAUACAUUAGCAUGGAAUAAUGAAAUAGGACGUUCGAUCUUAUUUUGUUGGUUUCUAGGAUUGACGUAAUGAUUAAUAGGGAUAGUUGGGGGCAUUAGUAUUCAAUUGUCAGAGGUGAAAUUCUUGGAUUUAUUGAAGACUAGCUACUGCGAAAGCAUUUGCCAAGGAUGUUUUCAUUAAUCAAGAACGAAAGUUAGGGGAUCGAAGACGAUCAGAUACCGUCGUAGUCUUAACCAUAAACUAUGCCGACUAGGGAUCGGAUGAUGUUAAUUUUUAAUGACUCA
rnacentral:rRNA from 1 species